UUUGCACAGGUGGCUUUUCAGAUGAUGAUCUUGCUCACGGAACCUCAGGGGGAGACGGCACAGGAGACAGUGGAGGCGGUGGAAGCCACAGGAAUGAGGAGGAGCAAGCCGACGCCCCUGGCGUGAUCCCUGGGAUCGUGGGGGCCGUGGUGGUGGCCGUGGCCGGUGCCAUCUCCAGCUUCAUCGCUUACCAGAAGAAGAAGCUGUGCUUCAAAGAGAACGCGGAACAAGGCGAGGUGGACCUGCAGAACCACCGGAACACCAACGCGGAGCCGGCUGUUCAGCACACUCUCCUGGAGAAAUAGAAGGUGAUAGUCGGGGGAAGCAGCCCGGCCGCCGGCGACAGGACCCUAACACCUGCCCGAAGCUCCUCCCAGAAAGGACACCUGCCCGCGGCGGGCAGAGAGGGCGAGGCCUUUUGUAGGUUCUCCGUGUUAAUCUCCAGAUGCGCUUCGCCUGUCACCUCUGGGCAGACCGUGUUUACUAACGAUGAGCUUGACCUCCCGGUGGGGACUCGCGCCGCGCUCUCCACGGCCCUUGCGGGGGGUGUCCCGUGUGAUGUGAAAGCCUGACCGUGACCAAGUCCCCCCCCCGUAACUCAAAUAUCAGCCCUGCCAAGGUGCCCCGACCCCAAACCCUCGGCCGUUCACAAAUGGCGUGUGCCUUGAACACGUCUGAGACUUCCACGACAGCAUUGACCUUUUUUAUCAUUAUUAUUAUUAUUACUAUUAAAUAGAAGGUAAGCCUUCCGUCGCUUC